rnacentral:rRNA from 1 species
GAACGCUGGCGGCAUGCCUUACACAUGCAAGUCGAACGGCAGCACGGGAGGGGUAACUCUUUUGGUGGCGAGUGGCGAACGGGUGAGUAAUAUAUCGGAACGUACCCAAGAGUGGGGGACAACGCAGCGAAAGUUGCGCUAAUACCGCAUACGAUCUACGGAAGAAAGUGGGGGACCUGUAACAGGGCCUCACGCUCGUGGAGCGGCCGAUAUCUGAUUAGCUAGUUGGUGAGGUAAAAGCUCACCAAGGCAGUGAUCAGUAGCUGGUCUGAGAGGACGACCAGCCACACUGGAACUGAGACACGGUCCAGACUCCUACGGGAGGCAGCAGUGGGGAAUUUUGGACAAUGGGCGCAAGCCUGAUCCAGCAAUGCCGCGUGAGUGAAGAAGGCCUUCGGGUUGUAAAGCUCUUUUGUCAGGGAAGAAACGGUGGUUUCUAAUACGGAUCACUAAUGACGGUACCUGAAGAAUAAGCACCGGCUAACUACGUGCCAGCAGCCGCGGUAAUACGUAGGGUGCAAGCGUUAAUCGGAAUUACUGGGCGUAAAGCGUGCGCAGGCGGUUCUGUAAGUCAGAUGUGAAAUCCCUGGGCUUAACCUGGGAAUGGCAUUUGAGACUGCAAGGCUAGAGUGUGUCAGAGGGGGGUAGAAUUCCACGUGUAGCAGUGAAAUGCGUAGAGAUGUGGAGGAAUACCGAUGGCGAAGGCAGCCCCCUGGGAUAACACUGACGCUCAUGCACGAAAGCGUGGGGAGCAAACAGGAUUAGAUACCCUGGUAGUCCACGCCCUAAACGAUGUCUACUAGUUGUCGGGACUUAAUUGUCUUGGUAA